rnacentral:rRNA from 1 species
CCUACGGGUGGCAGCAGUGGGGAAUAUUGGACAAUGGGGGCAACCCUGAUCCAGCCAUGCCGCGUGUGUGAAGAAGGCCCUCGGGUUGUAAAGUACUUUCAGUGAGGAAGAACGCCUGGUGGUUAAUACCCAUCAGGAAAGACAUCACUCACAGAAGAAGCACCGGCUAACUCCGUGCCAGCAGCCGCGGUAAUACGGAGGGUGCGAGCGUUAAUCGGAAUUACUGGGCGUAAAGCGCGCGUAGGUGGCUUGAUAAGCCGGUUGUGAAAGCCCCGGGCUCAACCUGGGAACGGCAUCCGGAACUGUCAAGCUAGAGUGCAGGAGAGGAAGGUAGAAUUCCCGGUGUAGCGGUGAAAUGCGUAGAGAUCGGGAGGAAUACCAGUGGCGAAGGCGGCCUUCUGGACUGACACUGACACUGAGGUGCGAAAGCGUGGGUAGCAAACAGGAUUAGAUACCCCUGUAGUC